AACGUAGGGGGCGAGCGUUAUCCGGAAUCACUGGGCGUAAAGGGCGUCUAGGCGGUCCAGUAAGUCCUGCGUGAAAGCUCCCGGCUCAACUGGGAGAGCGCGUGGGAGACUGUUGGGCUAGAGACUCGGAGAGGGGUGUGGAAUUCCCGGUGGAGUGGUGAAAUGCGUUGAGAUCGGGAGGAACACCAGUGGCGAAGGCGGCACCCUGGCCGAGGUCUGACGCUGAAGCGCGACAGCGUGGGGAGCAAACGGG
rnacentral:rRNA from 1 species